rnacentral:rRNA from 1 species
AGUGAACGCUGGCGGUAGGCCUAACACAUGCAAGUCGAACGGCAGCACAGUAAGAGCUUGCUCUUACGGGUGGCGAGUGGCGGACGGGUGUGGAAUACAUCGGAAUCUACUUUUUCGUGGGGGAUAACGUAGGGAAACUUACGCUAAUACCGCAUACGACCUACGGGUGAAAGCAGGGCAUCUUCGGACCUUGCUCGAUUGUAUGAGCCGAUGUCGGAUUAGCUAGUUGGCGGUGUAAAGGCCCACCAAGGCGACGAUCCGUAGCUGGUCUGAGAGGAUGAUCAGCAAAACUGGAACUGAGAAACGGUCCAGACUCCAACGGGAGGCAGAAGUGGGGAAUAUUGGACAAUGGGCGCAAGCCUGAUCCAGCCAUACCGCGUGGGUGAAGAAGGCCUUCGGGUUGUAAAGCACUUUUGUUGGGAAAGAAAAGCAGCAGGUUAAUACCCCGCUGUCCUGACGGUACCCAAAGAAUAAGCACCGGCUAACUUCGUG